rnacentral:rRNA from 1 species
UACGUAGGGGGCAAGCGUUGUCCGGAAUUAUUGGGCGUAAAGCGCGCGCAGGCGGUUUUUUAAGUCUGGUGUAUAAACCUUGGGCUCAACUUAAGGAGGCACUGGAAACUGGGAGGCUUGAGUGUAGGAGAGGAAAGUGGAAUUCCACGUGUAGCGGUGAAAUGCGUAGAGAUGUGGAGGAACACCAGUGGCGAAGGCGGCCAUCUGGGACAACACUGACGCUGAAGCACGAAAGCGUGGGGAGCAAACAGG